UCUGCCCUUUGCCUUGUUCUGUCAUCCCCUCCCCUAAUAAAAAGGAUAGCAGAUAAGACGACAUCGUAGAGUCGCUUAAAUUUUUAUUUUCCCGCUCAAAAUGGUCGCGUGUUAUUCAAAAACGGUACAACGGGAUUGUGUGGUUGAUUGUUGAUACGUGAAUGUGCGUCACGCACUAUACACAGCCAUUGUCCCCCCCCACUUCCCCUGCGCUAAAACAUGUCCAGACGAGAAAUCACGAAGCGCUACCGCAAGGUGUGUGUAUACAUAUCGUGAAUCUUGAAUAGACAAGUUUAGACACGAAAGUGGGUCUUUGCCUUACAAGGAAGGAAUUACAAGUUUAACUUUCGCGUUACGAAUCGAAUGGUGAAAGAUUUCUUUUCUUUUUUCAAAGAAAGAAAACGAGAACGUUUGUUAUUUUCUGGUUUGUACGUAUUUAUUUAUGGAGUCUGUGCGUAUAGACGUAUUCAAAACAAGGGCGUGUGUCAUUUUCUUCUAUUUUUCUUUCUCUUGUUUUUCUUCAUUUCGCAAAAAGAAAAUACGAGGGAACUACUGUCCGCAAAUAUUGGCAAUGUGGUUUUGUUAAGUGUCUACAAGAAUAAACAAACUGUCAACUGACAGUUAUACAGCCCCGGAGGAAAAACACAUGAAACGCGAGCGGGACAGAUGGCCACUGACCUUUGGCUUCCAAUAGUUUCGCCCGCCCUUUAAUAGGAAAUAUAAAUGUGCACGUAUAUAUACCCGUCCAUUUUACAUAUAGGCUGAUGGAGAGGGGGUUUAAUAUCUACUCUAGUUUCUCCCCCUCUUCCUUGGUCUGAAAAAAAAAAAGCCGUCACAACUAUAGUAUAUGCAGAGUAGUAUGCCCCCAUAUGCCACCAUGAGCGUUUUGAAAUAAACAUGACGGAACGACAAUCGGUCCUCUAAUUGCAAACGGUGCACCCGGUGCUUCGUGCGUGUCAUUUUCUAUCAGCGCCCUUUCGUGUAUAGGGAAUAAAUAGGUCCCUAUUACAACGUUCAACCCCCUCUCUCGUGUGUACUCUUUGAUUAAUGACAUGUUACUCCCCUCCUCCUUUUUUUUUUUUUACUCUAUGAUUAUCCAUUUAUCGGAAAUGUACGUAUGUAACGGAGAAACAAGAGAAAGUUGAUUGUUGCCAUGAUGGACGCAGAAGCGGAGCAGUCUUGCGAUUUGCUGGAUUCCCCCUCCCCCUCUUCCUGAGGGUUGGUAUAGGAUCAUGCAUCCGCCCUCAUGCCAGCGGUGCGUGUGUUGCUGUCAUAUAUAGAUGGCGGCAACGCACACACACACAUGGAGUUCACGGAUUGGGUUGCAGUUGGCGUCCAUGGAGACGACGCUGUCACCUUCCGGCGUCCGAUUGCAUCAGACACGACAAAUCUCAACCAGACUUUUUCUUGCGUGUUUUUCUGACAAUAUUUUUUUGGGCUAUGACAGUUGUCGUUUUGUUUGAGGAAUACAAACAGAAUUUAAAUGG